rnacentral:lncRNA from 1 species
AAUCAUAAUAAUUGAUAAUAUUGGGAAUGGAACCUUAUAUUUAAGGAAUCUUUUGGUUGUGAAAGCUGAUGACGUUAUAAAUAACGAUAAUAGUGAGCUAAAGACUUUAAAUUAGAAUGAAGUCAUGGUUAUGGAAAUGGUUGAUGUUAUAGGAAACGAUGAGAACGACGGGCGUAUGUUCACUAACACAACUCUGACAUACGAUAAACGAUGAGUAGGUAUGGUACCACAUUCAUAUAGGUCUUAGGACUGAGUUCAUAUGCACAAAAACUCGAGGAUGAUUUGUAUUUGCUGAAUAUGUGUAAUUGUGUGAGACGAUGAAGAUGAUUAUCUGUUGAUGUUCUUAUGAAGAUAAUUAUUGAUGACUAUAUGAGUUGUGACUAUUUUGAAAUUGAAUUGUGACAUUGUGUUUGUGAAGAUUUUAGUUCUUAUACUGUAAAGAUAAUUUUUUUUACUAAUGUGGAUUGAGUUGAUACGACUUUGACUUAAUUGCUUACGUGUUCUUCUCAUUUAUUUUACACUAUUACAUGUUCACGAAACUCACCCGUUCGUUGUUUGUGUUUGUUGGCUUGGCCCUGCGAUUGCGAAAACGCAGUUCUAUAGGUUAUGAGUCUCGGAAUCAAGUACAUGCCUUUCAUGAAGACUUUUCUUGUUAAGUUGGGGAAAAGCUCCGCUCUGAUAGUGAAACUGGGAAAGGGAUAUGCUUACUUAUUUAGUUUUGUACAAGAAAACUAUUUUCUAUGUUGUAAAAGAAAGUAUAUUGAAAAGCAAAGGAUUCGAUGUUAUAAUUUUCAAAGAAGUGAAAUGUGAAUUAUGUUUGUUAUGAGUCAAUGUGGUAUCCUAAAUCUUGUGGGAGAAUUCUUAUAUUUAUAGGAAAGUUUUUAUUUGACACUCUCUGCUGAGAAUUAAACUCUAUUUUUUUUUAUAAAUAAUAGUAAUAAUUAUUUUGGUAUUUCAGGUGUCGCAGCAAGGGCUUAAAAAACUUGAUGGUCAUAUUUGGCAAGUGUACUAAAUAAUUUAAACAAUUUACGAACG